UACAGAGGUCUCAAGCGUUGUUCGGAUUCAUUGGGCGUAAAGGGUGCGUAGGCGGCGCGGUAAGUCGGGUGUGAAAUCUCGGGGCUUAACUCCGAAACUGCAUUCGAUACUGCCGUGCUUGAGGACUGGAGAGGAGACUGGAAUUUACGGUGUAGCGGUGAAAUGCGUAGAUAUCGGGAGGAAUACCGAUGGCGAAGGCAGGUCUCUGGGCUGACACUGACGCUCAUGCACGAAAGCGUGGGGAGCAAACAGG
rnacentral:rRNA from 1 species